CUUAAAUAGAAUGAAAGAUAUAAUUAAAAUAAAUUGGAUAGAGUCAGGUAAGAAUAGUAGUAGGCAUAAGGUUCAAAUAAAGCAUAGUAUAUUUAUAAAUACAUUUUAUAAUUCUUUAUUUCAAAUCCAUUAAGGGUGAUAUAAAUUUAUUCGUACGGGAUUUAUUUGACUCGCGCUGUUAUAAAGCGUAGGGAAAUAACUGGUGAUUGGUCACCAUGGGCCAAUCAGGAGCUCGUAUUGUGAACUGCUGACCCGACCUUGAAAGUUGUAAACAACAACACACAUGUGUAAUGGCUGCGCCCAUGAAAGAACGUGAAUCGACUGAUAUUUCAUCAAAUUUACGCUGUAUUAUUCAUUACCAAGGAUUUAGAAAGGAACGAGAACAAUUAUUUACAAAAUCUCGCUGGGAUAAAUUCCGUGAAUGUGCCCAUGAAUGGCUAAAACUUGAUGGGCGAGCGAAAUGGAUAGCUGAACAGGCGACUUCGGGUGAUAUAAUCAAACAAGGAAUUUAUCGACGGCGACGCGUCAAAAGAUACUGGAUUUCACCCAACAUGCUACAGGCCUUUUACAGACAAAUUCCGAAUUGGGUCUGCCCGUAAUCGUAUAGAUAAAGAAAAAUUAAAAUCCCCGGCUACAAUCCAACCAGGGAAUAGCGGGAGUGUAGACGAUCUGGGACCUAGCUCUCCAAACAAAUUACGCUCCUGAAGCAAAAAGAAAGAGUAAAUCGGUGCUGCCUGUUGUGUGUAUUAUAUGUAAACAACGUGACGGAUUUGUCACUGUUGGAGAAAAUAGGAAGAAGGAUGUAUUAACACAGACUCAGACCCAAACAGGCUCAGGCCAACUGUUGAAAGCUGCUGAAUUGAAAGAGGAUGAAGAUAUUUUAAGGCAUAUCAGAGGGCAAGAUUGUGUGGCCAUUGAGGUCAGAUAUCACCAAAAAUGUUAUAGGCAAUAUACAUGUACUGAAUUUCUUAGACAGUUAUCAGAAAGCAAAGAUGACUAGCCCUCCGUCGAAUAUUAAACCACAUACAAUAUAUUCUGUGAAGAUGUCAUAAGAGAAAGAAUCAUAAAUGGCCAGCAAAGUUGUCUUGUACAGAGAGAGAGAGAGAGAAAUGGGGUUUAACGUCCACUCAACACGAACUAGGUCAGUUUGGGACUAACAUACGGUUUCAAUUUUAUUUCAAUAAUUCGCUUGCCCGUAUGGGUCUUUAGCAGUGAGAGGAAACCGGAGUGCCCGGAGGAAACCCACGAGGUUGAGAAGACGCCUCUAUCUCCAUGCCACAUACGCUCACACCUGGGAUCAAAGCCACAGCCACAAGCCAGAGGUGACCGACCAGCUAGAGGUCGAAGCGCGGCACUCUAGGCCAUCCCAACCCCCCUUUCUUGUACAGACCUGUGCAUGUGUAGUCAAUGUGAAAAUGAAAAAAAAAACUGUUAAAGAGACCGAAUUUGAUGUUAAUACAUUUAGUGACAGUGAUGAUGAUAAUGAAGAUUAACUUUGAUGACAUUUGAUGUGCAGAGUAACUGUUUAAUUUUGAUUUUCAAUGAUUGUUUCACUUUAAUAAAUAAUUUCACAACUGUUCAUCCUGUUUUCUAACCUUUCCCUUCAUUCCAGCCCAGAUACACAAUUAUUUUUUUUAACUUAUAUCUACAUGUAUGUU